GACGAACGCUGGCGGCGUGCCUAAUACAUGCAAGUCGAACGCAGUGGGGACGGGUGAGUAACACGUGGGUAACCUCCCAUCAGAGGGGAUAAACCUUGGAAACACGUGCUAAACCGAUACUGAUGGAUGGCCCCUCGGUGCAUUCGCUAGUUGGUGAGGUAACUGCUCACCACGGCCACGAUGCAUAGCCGACCUGAGAGGGUGAUCGGCCAAACUGGGACUGAGACACGGCCCAGACGCCUACGGGAGGCAGCAGUAGGGAAUCUUCGGCAAUGGACGAAAGUCUGACCGAGCAACGCCGCGUGAGUGAAGAAGGUUUUCGGAUCGUAAAACUCUGUUGUUAGAGAAGCGGUAUCUAACCAGAAAGCCACGGCUAACUACGUGCCAGCAGCCGCGGUAAUAC
rnacentral:rRNA from 1 species